UCGUGGUCGAGGCGGUUGGCCAACCCCAC
rnacentral:sRNA from 1 species